UUCCCUUUCCCGCUUCCCCAAAUUAUUGAUUAACUAAACGAUGAAAAAACCGGUUCCGAAUCCUAGACAAUUGUAUUUUCUUUACAAAAACACUAGAUAAAAUACAUGGCUAUUGUUAAUUCUUUCUUUAUUAUCAUCAUAUUAAUUAAUUUACCAAUUAAACAAAAUUCAACUAUAAAAAUGUAUAAAUAUGUAUUCCAGGUUUUACAUACUCUUCAAAUUUGAAUAUUUCAUUAAAAAAAAUUUAUGAAUAUUAUUAAGAUAUAGAUAAAUAUAUAAUAAAUAUGUGCAAAAUUUCAACAAACUCAAAUCGUAUAGUUUUGUUGCGAAAGAUGCCGAAACACCACAGCUUCCAGCAGAAGAACGUCUUAAUCGAAUCAGCAACAAUAUCCGGCGUGCAACUGACACACGACGUCUAUUAUCUUUGGCACAGUAGACAAAACAAUGAUGAUAACGUUGUCAUCUCCCGCAUCAGAAUCGGAUACUCUUUGACCUGACGUCGCCUCUGGCAUGUAUUUAACAGCAAUAACAACAAUAACGAAGAUAACGUUAUACGGGCUCGAACAAGUCGAGUACGGAUAACCUUUCCAUUAGGGUAAAUUACAAACCGGCCGUGAGAGAUAAUGGUCCAGCAAGCAUUUUCGUUUUCGAGGAAAAAUCGAAAUGGUGGAAAAAAUUCGGAAAAUCAGACACCACGAUGGAACACAUGUAUCAACGGCAUUAAAUUAAGCUUUCAAAGGGCGAUUCUGCAAAAUGGAGCGACAAAUUGUUUCCGCUACUACCAUCGUUAAAAAACGCGAUUGCUUUUAAUCAAAAUUAAAAGCAUUCGUCACAUAUCUCUACAAUCGUGAAUUCGUCUUUCUUUCACUGACUCUGGAAUUUUUUGCGUUGGCAUUUUUCAUCUUGUUACCUUUUCGCUUCCACCAACCCUGAAUCGCUUGAAAUAUGACAAAUACACUUUCAUCGCUUUACAACUGAUUUAAAAUGGUUCAUUUUACGAAGUUUAGUGAUACAUGAAUGGAAAUCAAAAAUGCAAUAGUCUUUUAUUCUUGAAUUUUUAUAAUACGAAAG
rnacentral:misc_RNA from 1 species